rnacentral:lncRNA from 1 species
AUUGCAACGUGCUUUCAUACUCCCCAAAGGCAUAUAUACCAUAAACCAGCAAAUGUUUAAAGAUCAAAAUGAGAGCCUGGACAACUUGCUUCCUAAAGUCUGUCUAAAACUCUUGUCAACAAAUAACGUGCAGGGUUAACAUCCGGAGGUCAAAACAUCUCUCAAGAACCUCUUUGCCUUGGCUUCUCAGAGCCACCUUUGGAUUAUACAGUAAUUUCACCCGCCGCGACACCUCACUUUAUUCAUCAUAUCAGUCAUUCACCGAUUGGCUCUUCCUCAGACGGGAUGAGUGGCGACCACUUACCGUAUUCCAAACGAAGCCUGAGGAAAGACAAGCCCAGGCCGGCUUUCUGUUCCCACAAGGAUACAGUCACAGAAGCAGAGCUGAGCCUGGUGUGGAUCAACUGACCUCCAGCCGAUCCCUAGAUGCGUGAGCAAGCCCAGCCAAGAUCAGCACAGCCCAGCCAAGAUCAUCUGAGCCUGGACCAGACUAUCUGAUCCGUGGACACAAGAUACAGAAUAAACCCUCUUUGUGGUGCCACUUCCAUCCUCACUUCACAGUUGAAGGAACUGAGGCACAGAGAGGCUAAGGGAUCACUCCAGCUACACAACCAAGAUGAAGGGGAGCCAGAAUUUGAACCCAAGUAGUCUGGUUCUAGAGUCCAUGGUCUACAGCACUUUCCUUUUCUCCCUCUGAGUCCCAGAAAUGUCCACAGUCACACUGGACAGAAAAGUGAUCAGACAACAAACUCCAUGCUUUGUUUUGGGUUUGGAAUUUUACUUUAUGUUUUUUCCAAUCAUUAAAAAAAAUGCACAUUCAUCACAAAAAAUUUGGAAAUUCAGGAAAAAAUAAUGAAGAAUAUUAAAUCACCUAGGAGUACUAUU